rnacentral:rRNA from 1 species
GUCAACAGUCAUGUCAACCUGCAGCUCACACCUGGCAGCCUGUGAAGCUCAGCAGGUGUGAGCCUGGUCAGUACCUGGAUGGGAGACCUCCUGGAGAAAACUAAGGUUGCCGCUGGAA